AUCAACCGAGAUUCCCAAAGUAGUGGCGAGCGAAAUGGGAUGAGCCUUGCACUCUUUAUUUGUAUUGUUAGCCGAACGCUCUGGAAAGUGCGGCCAUAGCGGGUGAUAGCCCCGUAGGCGAAAACAGUAUGAAAGAACUAGGUGUGCGACAAGUAGGGCGGGACACGUGAAAUCCUGUCUGAAGAUGGGGGGACCAUCCUCCAAGGCUAAAUACUCGUGAUCGACCGAUAGUGAACCAGUACCGUGAGGGAAAGGCGAAAAGAACCCCGGGAGGGGAGUGAAAUAGAUCCUGAAACCGCAUGCAUACAAACAGUCGGAGCCUCGUAAGGGGUGACGGCGUACCUUUUGUAUAAUGGGUCAGCGACUUACGUUCAGUAGCAAGCUUAACCGUAUAGGGCAGGCGUAGCGAAAGCGAGUCCGAAUAGGGCGUUCAGUUGCUGGGCGUAGACCCGAAACCAGGUGAUCUAUCCAUGGCCAGGAUGAAGGUGCGGUAACACGUACUGGAGGUCCGAACCCACUAACGUUGAAAAGUUAGGGGAUGAGCUGUGGAUAGGGGUGAAAGGCUAAACAAACCUGGAAAUAGCUGGUUCUCUCCGAAAACUAUUUAGGUAGUGCCUCGUGUCUCACCUUCGGGGGUAGAGCACUGUCAUGGUUGGGGGGUCUAUUGCAGAUU
rnacentral:rRNA from 1 species